CGUCCCGCCCACUGUCCCUUCCGCCGGGUGCAGCCGCGUCUGAACAUCUCUGGGUGGUGUUUACGGGCAGGGGUCCCGCGGCACACUCCUGCUCUUUCCGUGGGCAGCAGAAGUGGGUCAGGCCUUCGCUUAACUUUAAACCAGCCUCAAGUCCAAGGGUCUGAUGUCGACCUGCAGGUGCUGGUUACUGAUUAGUCGUUUGCGCGCUUUCUUCCGGAUGACCUGUUAUUGUUGUGUUUUGGUUAAUUAGGCAGGGGCGGGUGAAGUAAGAAGUCUUGACUAUUGCAUGAGACAGUGAUGGGUGCGUGAUCGCCAGAGCCCUGGGGAUCUGCCCCGCAAAGAAUACAAGAGGAGCCAGCAGCUGCUGUGAGGUGGUUCUUCACUGCAGCCCAUUGUCCUGGUGUGCUAACAGGGAGAGGAGUGGCAUCCCUUGUGACGCAGCCUUGCUGCCUUCGUCCUGUUGCUAGAGUGUGUACCUGCAGCAGAGGGACUGGUCAACAGCUGUAAUGAAGUCAGAAUGGCUCUCUCGUGAGAUGUGUAACCCACCAAGAUCUUCUAUUACACUUCAUAAUUGUUUGCUUCCUUAAACUCACUACUAGCUCCAACUAAUUGAGUCUUGGGACGUAACUGCAACGGAAC